GCCUAGCCCCGAUUGUAAUGAAAAUCCUUUUUUGAAAAAAAAGAUUGCAAUGGAAAGCGGGAAACAGC
rnacentral:sRNA from 1 species